AGAGCGAACGCUGGCGGCAGGCUUAACACAUGCAAGUCGAACGGAUCCUUCGGGAUUAGUGGCGGACGGGUGAGUAACACGUGGGAACGUGCCUUUAGGUUCGGAACAACACAGGGAAACUUGUGCUAAUACCGGAUGUGCCCUUCGGGGGAAAGAUUUAUCGCCUUUAGAGCGGCCCGCGUCUGAUUAGCUUGUUGGUGAGGUAAAGGCUCACCAAGGCUACGAUCAGUAGCUGGUCUGAGAGGAUGGCCAGCCACAUUGGGACUGAGACACGGCCCAAACUCCUACGGGAGGCAGCAGUAGGGAAUCUUGCGCAAUGGGCGAAAGCCUGACGCAGCCAUGCCGCGUGAAUGAUGAAGGUCUUAGGAUUGUAAAAUUCUUUCAGCGGGGACGAUAAUGACGGUACCCGCAGAAGAAGCCCCGGCUAACUUCGUGCCAGCAGCCGC
rnacentral:rRNA from 1 species